rnacentral:rRNA from 1 species
UUCUGUCAUACCACUUAGGAACUGGUAAAAGCGAAGGCAACUUUCUAUGUAAAAACUGACGUUAAGGGACGAAGGCUCGUAUCAAAUAACAGGAUUAGAUACCCCAGCAUUGUGGGCAGACAAUGAUGAGUGUCAUAUGCAAGAGAUAAAUAUAUAAAAAAAUAUUUUGUGUAUAAAUGAAAGUGUAAGCACUCCACCUCAAGAGUAACGUGGCAACAUGGGAACUGAAAUCAUUAGACCGUUUCUGAAACUCGUAGUGAAGUAUGUUGUUUAAUUAGAUGGUGCACAAAUAACCUUACCACAAUUUGUAUAACUAUAGUACAUAAUAAUAAUAUAGUUACAAGCGUUGCACGGCUGUCUUUAGUCUAUGUUGUGAAACUGUGGUUAGAUCCAUUAAAUAGACGUA